rnacentral:ncRNA from 1 species
GAAAUUGAGAGUUUGAUCCUGGCUCAGGACGAACGCUGGCGGCGUGCUUAACACAUGCAAGUCGAGCGAGUGGAUUCCCUUCGGGGAUGAAGCUAGCGGCGGACGGGUGAGUAACACGUGGGCAACCUGCCUUAUAGAGGGGGAUAGCCUUCCGAAAGGAAGAUUAAUACCGCAUAACAUCAGAUUAUCGCAUGGUAGACUGAUCAAAGGAGC